rnacentral:sRNA from 1 species
GAACAGCCAUCGAGCUCCAAGGACACAACGACAAAGUCCAGGCCCUCUCCUAUGCACAGCAUACACGACAGCUCAUCUCCUGUGGCGGUGAUGGUGGGAUUGUCGUCUGGAACAUGGACGUGGAGAGGCAGGAGCCUCUGUGGAGCUGCUUUGUGGUUAUGGUAAGUGCUGUGUGAUGCUCACCUUGGGAGGUCUGCGACAUAUAUUGAAGUCAUCUCUAACCUGAAGUACUGACAGACUUUUUGGAAGAAAAGGCUUGUAGGAGGAAACUUCAGAAUUCUAUUAAAUGGUGUAAAUGAUGAAAUUAUACUUGAUAUAUGCUAGAGCAUCAGUGCUGGGUAUUUUACAAGGGAUGGAGUCAUCAUUGGCUAAUGUUCCCAGUGAAGGACUGAGGG